rnacentral:rRNA from 1 species
UAGGGAAUCUCCCGGCAAUGGACGGAAGUCUGACCGAGCAACGCCGCGUGAGUGAAGAAGGUUUUCGGAUCGUAAAGCUCUGUUGUAAGAGAAGAACGAGUGUGAGAGUGGAAAGUUCACACUGUGACGGUAUCUUACCAGAAAGGGACGGCUAACUACGUGCCAGCAGCCGCGGUAAUACGUAGGUCCCGAGCGUUGUCCGGAUUUAUUGGGCGUAAAGCGAGCGCAGGCGGUUAGAUAAGUCUGAAGUUAAAGGCUGUGGCUUAACCAUAGUAGGCUUUGGAAACUGUUUAACUUGAGUGCAAGAGGGGAGAGUGGAAUUCCAUGUGUAGCGGUGAAAUGCGUAGAUAUAUGGAGGAACACCGGUGGCGAAAGCGGCUCUCUGGCUUGUAACUGACGCUGAGGCUCGAAAGCGUGGGGAGCAAACAGGAUUAGAUACCCUGGUAGUCCACGCCGUAAACGAUGAGUGCUAGGUGUUAGACCCUUUCCGGGGUUUAGUGCCGUAGCUAACGCAUUAAGCACUCCGCCUGGGGAGUACGACCGCAAGGUUG